UUGAACACUUGGACUCAUCACUCAUCGUGCUUUCCGCCAUGACGAAGCUAUACUGCUAUAGCAUAUAACUGCUUCACCUUCUCCUUCAUCUUCAUCUUCACCUUCUUCUUAAUCUUCAUUCUCUCUAGCGUGUUUUAGCAGCUUUGCUACGUACUCUGUUAUUCAACCUGAAAUUUGUUGAAGUUUCAAGCUGAAAAUGAUGAUUCCGCCGCUUCCCAAAAACCGCAUUGUCUUAGGUGUUGGAAUGGCCGGUGUUGACUUCCUGGCUGCUGUAGCUUCGUUCCCCAACCCGGAUGACAAAAUUCGGAGCACCAGUUUUGAGGUUCAAGGAGGUGGUAACGCUGGUAAUGCUUUGACCUGCGCAGCUCGUCUAGGUCUUAAUCCAAGGAUCAUAUCUAAGGUUGCUGAUGACUCACAUGGCGAAAGAAUACUUGAUGAGCUUGAAAGGGAUGGUGUUGAUACAUCUUUUAUGGUGGUGUCCAAAGGAGGAAACUCACCAUUCACGUAUGUCAUUGUUGACAACCAAAAAAAAACUCGCACAUGCAUUUUCACUCCAGGAUAUCCACCCAUGAUACCUGAUGAUCUACCCAAAUCAAAAUUGUCUUCAGCCCUUGAUGGAGCAAAUAUUGUCUACUUAGAUGGAAGGUUGCAUGAGACUGCUUUAAUUGUAGCGCAGGAGGCAAAGAGUAGGGGCAUACCUAUUAUAGUUGAUGCAGAAAGGUUAAGGGAGGGGCUGGAUGAUAUUCUUGACUUUGCUAGUUAUGUUGUAUGCUCGACAAAAUUUCCACAGGCAUGGACUAGCGCCCCUUCAAUUCCAACUGCACUUGUUUCCAUUCUCUUGAGAUUGUCAAACGUAAAAUUCGUGAUUGCGACAUUGGGUGAAGAUGGUUGCUUAAUGUUAGAAAGGACUGAAGCGGAGAACACUCAGCUUGAAGAAAUGGAUGUAGAUGAAUUGUACAAAAAACUGGAGCAAAGGGAAGAUGCUAAUGCAACAAUACCCACAUGCAUAUCAUCGAAUGUGGGAAAAUUACGUGCAAAUGGAAUAGGGAUGGUUAACGGUAGGCUGCACGUAGGAACAGCUGAAAAGAUACCACCUUCAGAAUUAGUUGAUACAACCGGUGCUGGUGAUGCAUUCAUCGGAGCAGUUAUUUACUCUAUCUGUACUGAUAUGCCACCACAAAAGAUGCUCCCAUUUGCCUGUCAAGUGGCAGCCAUCAAGUGCAGAGCCUUGGGAGCUAGAGGCCAUCUUCCCCGCUGGAACCACCCUUGCCUGACACCGUUUUUAAUGUAGAGUGCCCCAGUAGAAGUUACAUUGUUGGCCUACAAAUGUGACAGCAACUCUUGAAUUUCUGGCUGUGUCUACGAGGAUUUGCCGUGGACGCUGUAGUUACGACUGUUGUGUACUUGCACCGACCAUCUACAGAAUAUAAUCUCACACAAAACUCAGAUACGAUUUUUGAUACGAUCCCAUAUUGACUCCAUAAAAGAUUGUGGAGCGGUACUUAAGUUGGGGCCAAACUUCCACUCAUGAGUUAGUUUUUGUGGUGAAGUUAUGAUCUUGGCUUGAGUUAUCACUUGGUGUUCUCAUUGAAAAGCCGGACUACUUGAGUGCUGUAUCAAUUUUUUCCUAUUAUAAUUAUUUUAUCGCCUUG